rnacentral:rRNA from 1 species
AGCGAACGCUGGCGGCGUGCUUAACACAUGCAAGUCGAACGAGAAAGCCCUUCGGGGUGAGUAGAGUGGCGCACGGGUGAGUAACACGUAGGUGACCUACCAUGUAGUGGGGGAUAACUAGGAGAAAUUCUAGCUAAUACCGCAUACGUUGAACAAUUUUGAAAGUAGUUCAAGAAAGAAUGCCUCUAUAGUAUGCAUUCGCUAUUUGAUGGGCCUGCGGGACAUUAGCUUGAUGGUGGGGUAACGGCCUACCAUGGCGACGAUGUCUAGCGGAUCUGAGAGGAUGAUCCGUCACACUGGAACUGAGACACGGUCCAGACUCCUACGGGAGGCAGCAGUGGGGAAUCUUGCACAAUGGAGGAAACUCUGAUGCAGCGAUGCCGCGUGAGUGAAGAAGGCCCUUGGGUUGUAAAGCUCUUUUGUCGGGAAAGAUAAUGACUGUACCCGAAGAAUAAGGUCCGGCUAACUUCG